rnacentral:precursor_RNA from 14 species
CUCGUCUUGAAUCAUGGUUUCUCCAGUGUCAGAGCUACCUCUGGGACUGGUUUCAAACUCUUCUAGUCAGCCCCUGGGGUAGUUCUGACUGGAGCAGACUUAUGUAUUCAUCCCCAAG